ensembl:miRNA
GUGCUCGGUUUGUAGGCAGUGUAAUUAGCUGAUUGUACUGUGGUGCUUACAAUCACUAACUCCACUGCCAUCAAAACAAGGCAC